UCAGAUUGUAGGCUGCAACUCGCCUAUAUGAAGUUGGAAUUGCUAGUAAUCGCGGAUCAGCAUGCCGCGGUGAAUACGUUCCCGGGCCUUGUACACACCGCCCGUCACACCAUGAGAGCCGGUAAUACCCGAAGUCAGUAUCCUAACCGCGAAGGGGGGAGCUGCCGAAGGUAGGAUUGGCGAUUGGGGUGAAGUCGUAACAAGGUAAC
rnacentral:rRNA from 1 species